UACGAAGGGGGCGAGCGUUGUUCGGAUUUACUGGGCGUAAAGGGCGCGCAGGCGGCGACAUUUGUCAGGCGUGAAAGCCCGAGGCUCAACCUCGGAACUGCCUUCGAUACUGCGGGUCUCGAGUCCGGGAGGGGUGAGUGGAAUUCCUAGUGUAGAGGUGAAAUUCGUAGAUAUUAGGAAGAACACCAGUGGCGAAGGCGGCUCACUGGCCCGGUACUGACGCUGAGGCGCGAAAGCGUGGGGAGCGAACAGG
rnacentral:rRNA from 1 species